rnacentral:tRNA from 1 species
GCUCCGGUGGCGGAAUUGGCAGACGCACCGCACUCAAAAUGCGGCGCCGCAAGGCGUGCGGGUUCGAGUCCCGCCCGGAGCA